rnacentral:sRNA from 2 species
UCAAUGGGCGACUAGGGUUCCGGUCCGCACUGCGGAUGACUGGUCCGAGAGUCGCCGACCUCUCCAACGAGGGGUUACACGGCGGGACAAAAGCCCGGGAGAU